GUUUAAUAAAUGAUGAAAACUAUAAUUAAAUGAUAAUUAACCAACCAAGAUGGUUGACAUGGUUAAAAAUAGAACAUAGUUGUAAAAUGUGUAUUUUGGCUUCUAUUACUGAAACCAAAGCAUUUAGAGCAAAUCUGUCAAGAACAAAAUUGUUCAUUAGAUCAAAAUCUAUAUAUCUGCCCUAGAGUUUUCAGAUAAAUCAGACAACCUGUUGUUGGGUUGCUGCCCCUGAAUUAGUAAUUAUUUAGGAAAUUGACUCUUUAAUGAGUUUAAUUGCCCAUUUUAGUCACUUUUUAACAAUUUUCAUAAAUUUUGUAAAUUUUUGUAAAUUUUUACAAAAUUUUUUCCACUGUUACUACUGGGCCAAGUUAAUUAUAGAUAGAGAUAAUUGUUAGCAUCAAGAAUGUUCAGUGAAGUAAGAUCCUACAAACACAUCACCAUCACCAAAACACAAUUUUGUCAUGAAUCCAUCUGUGUCCUUUGUUUGAUUUGCACAUAGACCAAGGUCAGUGACACAGGCUCUUUAUAUCCUCUAGUUAAUUACCCUAGGUCUGCAAAGGCCUGAAUAACAAAUCAAGACUACAGUACACAGAAAAUAUUAAGAUUGAGACACAUGUACACAACCAAAAACUGGGGGUGAGUCUGAAUAACAAAUCAGAAUACAAAACAGUACACAGAAAGUUUAAGACUGAGCCAAAUGUACUGGAACCUGAAUAUCAAACCAGACUAUAAAACCAGACUGCAAAGCAGUACUGUACACAGAAAGUUUAAGAUUGAACCACAUGAAACCAACCAAAAAUACAGGGAGUAAACCUGAAAGACAAACCAGUCUUCAAACACUACACAGAAAAAAUAUUGAAGCCAUAAUGUACUACAUGUAAUACCAACAAAAAAACAGUGAAUGACCAAGAAUAACAACCAUUCUACAAAACAAUUUACACAAAAAGUUUAAGUUUGAGCCACAUGUACCAAAC
rnacentral:lncRNA from 1 species